UCCGGCUUAUCACCGGCAGUCCCCUUAGAGUGCCCAACUGAAUGAUGGCAACUAAGGGCGAGGGUUGCGCUCGUUGCGGGACUUAACCCAACAUCUCACGACACGAGCUGACGACAGCCAUGCAGCACCUGUCUCCGAUCCAGCCGAACUGAAGGAUCUCAUCUCUGAAACCCGCGAUCGGGAUGUCAAGGGCUGGUAAGGUUCUGCGCGUUGCGUCGAAUUAAACCACACGCUCCGCUGCUUGUGCGGGCCCCCGUCAAUUCCUUUGAGUUUCAACCUUGCGGUCGUACUCCCCAGGCGGGGCACUUAAUGCGUUAGCUCCGACACCGAUGGGGUCGUUCCCACCGGCAUCUAGUGCCCAUCGUUUACCGCGUGGACUAC
rnacentral:misc_RNA from 1 species